rnacentral:rRNA from 1 species
UACGUAGGGUGCGAGCGUUAAUCGGAAUUACUGGGCGUAAAGCGUGCGCAGGCGGUUGUGCAAGACAGGUGUGAAAUCCCCGGGCUUAACCUGGGAAUUGCAUUUGUGACUGCAUGGCUAGAGUGUGUCAGAGGGGGGUAGAAUUCCACGUGUAGCAGUGAAAUGCGUAGAUAUGUGGAGGAAUACCGAUGGCGAAGGCAGCCCCCUGGGAUAACACUGACGCUCAUGCACGAAAGCGUGGGGAGCAAACAGG